UACGAGGGGGGCGAGCGUUGUUCGGAAUUAUUGGGCGUAAAGGGCGCGUAGGCGGUUCCGCAAGUCCUGUGUGAAAUCUUCGGGCUCAACUCGAAGUCUGCACGGGAAACUGCGGGGCUUGAGUGUGGGAGAGGAGAGUGGAAUUCCCGGUGUAGCGGUGAAAUGCGCAGAUAUCGGGAAGAACACCCGUGGCGAAGGCGGCUCUCUGGGACGGUACUGACGCUGAGACGCGAAAGCGUGGGGAGCGAACAGG
rnacentral:rRNA from 1 species